UGGUCUUCUGUUUCAUUUAGGUAUGUAGCUAAGCCAAUAAGUGUGUUGUUUACAAUGCCCUCAAUUUGAGGAAGCCCUCGUCCACCAUCUCGUCGUGGGACAUAUAAUCGAUGCACGUCGGCUCUAGGAUGUAGUAGCCCGUUGAGGAUCCGAUACAUUGUGGUGGCCAGGGAUUUCUUAAAGAAGAUUAGUGAUGUUUUUGCUGACUAAUCCUGUAACUCCAAUAAUAAUCGCCUCUUUUUGGAUGACGUUGUAGUCGGAUGGAAUUGCUACGUCUAUUAGUUGGCAUAAGUUGUGCUUUUUGUCUUUAACUACAAUGUCAAGCUUAUUUGCUAAGAUUGUCUGGUCAGUGUGGAUUUGCAUGUUCCAGAGUAUUGUAACAUCUCCUGUUUCUUCUACUGGUCGAGUGUAUUUGGGAAGCUACUGAAUCAUGGCGUUGUGUGUACUCUCUUGGGGCUAAUAUAGGACAACCAGUUAACAGCCCUCGUCCACCAUCUCGUCGUGGGACAUAUAAUCGAUGCACGUCGGCUCUAGGAUGUAGUAGCCCGUUGAGGGAUGAAGCUGAUAUCCAGUUGACGACUCCUUUAGCUCAGAUGUCAGCGGAAACAAUGCGAUACAAAAUAGAAGUGGAGAUAGCGAAUCUCCUUGAAAGAUGCCUCGUUUUAUUUUUACUUCUUUUAUUUCUACACUGUUAAAGUAAUUUUUUGCUAAUAGAUUUUUUGACCAAUUUUGCAUUGUUCUUGCAAUAAAGUUUAUUAUUACUU